rnacentral:rRNA from 1 species
UACGGGGGGGGCAAGCGUUGUUCGGAAUUACUGGGCGUAAAGGGCUCGUAGGUGGCCAACUAAGUCAGACGUGAAAUCCCUCGGCUUAACCGGGGAACUGCGUCUGAUACUGGAUGGCUUGAGUUUGGGAGAGGGAUGCGGAAUUCCAGGUGUAGCGGUGAAAUGCGUAGAUAUCAAGAGGAACACCUGAGGUGAAGACGGGUUGCUGAGCCGACACUGACGCUGACAGCGCGAAAGCCAGGGGAGCAAACGGG